UACGGAGGGUGCAAGCGUUAUCCGGAUUCACUGGGUUAAAGGGUGCGUAGGCGGGCAGGUAAGUCCGUGGUGAAAUCUCUGAGCUUAACUCAGAAACUGCCAUGGAUACUAUUUGUCUUGAAUAUUGUGGAGGUAAGCGGAAUAUGUCAUGUAGCGGUGAAAUGCUUAGAUAUGACAUAGAACACCAAUUGCGAAAGGCAGC
rnacentral:rRNA from 1 species